UGCAAUAAUUCUUUUUUUUUUCCUUUAAUGAUUUUAUCCAUGUUGUUCUUUUUUUUUUGAAAAAAAAUAUAAUUUUUUUAUUUCUUCAUCUGGGUAUUUGUUCGUUUGGUGUUCUUUAUCUGUUACAUACGAUUUCAUGCUUUUUUAUUACACGGAUUAGGUUUUUCAGAAGGUUAGGAAUCUGCAACUGGGGAUUAUUUGAAUUUUAUUUGGGUAUUAUCUCCUCUAUUUCUAAUUCCAUAUGGGUUUUGUAAUUUGAAUUUUAGUUUUAUAUGGGUUUUCACCUAUUUUAAUCAGCUUUGGUAAACUUGAUAUGGCUUUUGAUUAGUUGUUCGUUUCUGUUUUUAGCAGUAGAGUGCUGUCAACAGUUCCUGGUAUUUUUUUUUUCCGAGUUUCGAUGUCUCAAACGUAAAUUGCUGCUGUGUUGCCUUUCCGCUUCAAUUGUUUUGUCGCUUUGUAAUUCGGUUUGAAUGUGGAUGUUACUAAAUUAUUUGAUUUAUUUCCAUCGGAGUUCAAGGUGUUGGCAAUGGAUGCUUCGAUUGUAUUUCCGCAUAGAAUUUUGUUGAUGCAAAUUCAAAAUGGACUUAUGGGUGAAACUUGACGAAAGGGAUAUUGCUUUGCUAGGAUUUCAAACCUUUUUUCAGGGGAUCAGAAGCUCUAGAGAUAGGAAAGAGAUAAAGGGCUUUACUUGAAAACCUGUAGGAUGGGGAGGGUUAAGCUCAAGAUAAAGAGAUUGGAGAAUACAAGCAGUAGACAAGUAACCUAUUCAAAAAGGAAGAAUGGAAUCUUGAAGAAAGCUAGGGAAUUAUCCAUAUUAUGUGACAUAGACAUUGCCCUUAUCAUGUUUUCACCAACUGGCAAGCCUACAUUGUGCCUAGGAGAGCACAGUAACUUUGAAGAGGUUAUUGGAAAGUUUGCUCAAUUAACUCCACAGGAAAGGGCAAAAAGGAAAUUGGAGAGCCUCGAAGCACUAAAGAAAACAUUUAAGAAGUUGGAUCAUGAUGUAAACAUACAAGACUUUUUGGGUGCAAGUACUCAAACAGUUGAGGAAUUGACCAACCAUUCAAGGCUAUUGCAAACUCAACUUUCAGAAACGCACAAGAGAUUGAGCUAUUGGACUCAUCCAGAUAAAAUCAACAAUAUAGAACAUCUGAGGGCAAUGGAAGACUCUCUUAAGGAAUCACUUAACCAAAUAAGAGCUCAUAAGUUCCAGAAUGGGAUGCAUCUACCCUUGGGAAUGAGUGUUGAGCAGCCACAAGCACAACCCAUUUCAUGGCUGCCUGGUAAUGACAGUCAACAUAUGAUGUUAGCAGAGGAUCCAAACUUGUUACCUCACAGAGAUCUGGAGUGCUCCACAGAUGCUUCCAUUCCAAGCUAUUCUGGUUUCUUUAGUGCGUGCAAAACAGAAGUUGAUAGUUCGGGUCAAGAAAGUAAUGCCCUGAAUGAAUUAAGCAGAAAUGCAUGCUUGAGGCUACAAUUGGGUGGGCAAUAUCCAUAUCCAUCAUAUGGAUUCAAUUUGCUGGAUGAAAAGAAAUUGAAGACUGAAACAAAGAUGAGUUUACAUGAAAACCCUGUGGAUUUUCAAGUUAAUAGUGGCUUUGAACCAACUAGACCUGGGUAUGACACAAGCCAUCAGAGUUGGGCAUCUACAUCUGGACCUUGUGCCAUUGCUGUGUUUGAUCAGCAAUCAUACCCUCAACAACCAAACUGAAUUCACGAGUGAUUUUAUCAUUAUCAUUCUUUGCUGGGUAGCCACAUCAGCACAAGUCCUUUUGAAUGUGAAAUCAAGUUGAUACGAAUUAACAAAGUUCUGGAUGCUGGGUUGGUAUCUUUGACAAUUAUCAGAGGCAGCCCGCAAGAGACAUGGAAGGUUGCUGAUUCAGUCGUUUGAGCUACUGGAUCUGCAAUACCUAACCGUUUGUAUAGUAUAAACAAUAUAUGGUAAUAGGCUUUUUUAUUACACUUUCCCCUUGACAGUGUUACUAAUGACGGGGAGAAUCUCCUUUAUUCAUUUCUCAGUAAUCUAAGCUGUAAAUUAAACUCUAGUAAUACAAAUUCAAGCUAACAUCUUCA